GCCAAAUGUUGGGUACUAUACAUGGCAGUCGAGCGGACAGUAUCAGGAGCUUGCUCCCUGAUGUUAGCGGCGGACGGGUGAGUAACACGUGGGUAACCUGCCUGUAAGACUGGGAUAACUCCGGGAAACCGGGGCUAAUACCGGAUGGUUGUUUGAACCGCAUGGUUCAGACAUAAAAGGUGGCUUCGGCUACCACUUACAGAUGGACCCGCGGCGCAUUAGCUAGUUGGUGAGGUAACGGCUCACCAAGGCAACGAUGCGUAGCCGACCUGAGAGGGUGAUCGGCCACACUGGGACUGAGACACGGCCCAGACUCCUACGGGAGGCAGCAGUAGGGAAUCUUCCGCAAUGGACGAAAGUCUGACGGAGCAACGCCGCGUGAGUGAUGAAGGUUUUCGGAUCGUAAAGCUCUGUUGUUAGGGAAGAACAAGUGCCGUUCAAAUAGGGCGGCACCUUGACGGUACCUAACCAGAAAGCCACGGCUAACUACGUGCCAGCAGCCGCGGUAAUACGUAGGUGGCAAGCGUUGUCCGGAAUUAUUGGGCGUAAAGGGCUCGCAGGCGGUUUCUUAAGUCUGAUGUGAAAGCCCCCGGCUCAACCGGGGAGGGUCAUUGGAAACUGGGGAACUUGAGUGCAGAAGAGGAGAGUGGAAUUCCACGUGUAGCGGUGAAAUGCGUAGAGAUGUGGAGGAACACCAGUGGCGAAGGCGACUCUCUGGUCUGUAACUGACGCUGAGGAGCGAAAGCGUGGGGAGCGAACAGGAUUAGAUACCUUGGUAGUCCAAA
rnacentral:rRNA from 1 species